UGAUUUUGUUUUAAUAUCUGCAAAUUCUCGGUUUGUUUGAGUUAUUAUUAUUAUUAUUUUAUUUUAUUUUUUUUUUUUGUUUUGCGGUUGCAAAUCCACACACGGAGUUCUAAUUUGGAGUUUGAUUGCAAGUUCGAAGUUUUUGAAACCCCAAAUCGUUGUUACCCUCUGCUUUUUUCGACUUUUGUGUUUCGGAAUCGACAUUUGGAGUUUCCUUUGCUGUUUCUUUUUGUUUUGCGGUUACGUACUGGAAGCAGAUUUUGGUAAUGAUUUGGGCAUUCUUUAAACUGAAAGUGUAUUUGUUGAAACCUUAAUUUCAUUUAUUAUUAUUAUUAUUAUUAUUAUUAUUAUUGUAUAAUUUUACCUUUAGUAUACUAUGAAAAUACCUUUAAACUGAAAGCCUUUUUGUUUAAUAAAUACAAACCUUUUUUCUUCACAAUCGUAUUCUACAAUAUUUUAGUAUUGAUCAUAAUAAAAUCCAUUAAAUUAUAAAUAAAAUAAAAAAAAUCAACUCGAUCUAUGUUAUUUCUGAUUUUUAUGUAACGAAAAGCUCAAAUACCACAAUCCAUUUAUUUUUCAUUCUUGUUUGGUAUUGAUUUGGGCAUCGUUGUUUGUUACUGUGUGUGCAUUGCUUACUCACUGGAAGCCAAAAAAAAAAAAAAAAUUACCACACAUGCUGACAUAUCAUCUCUCUAUAAGUUUUUUUUUUUUUUUUUUUUUUUUUUUUUUUUUUUUUUUUUUUUUUUGAAGCUCAAUAAAUGUUGACUGUCAUUCAGAGGAUAUGAACUGAAACAAAUUAACUAAAAAGGAUACCCAGCUAAAUGAAUCUCCAUCUGGUCUUGAGGGCAUAUAGAUCCUCACAAUCGUAUUGGAAAAUCUCAUUACUGUUGUGCUUGCAGUGAAAAAAAAGAUAUUUGUCAACUAUUAAUGUAUAAAUCUUCUAAUUGACCAAAAAAAAAAAUGCCACUGCAAAUCUUAUUUAACUUGUAUUCUGAAAAUUUGCCUACACACAUGAGUAUCUUAUUUAACUUCCAAUAUCACAGUCUACUAUCACUAUGGCAAGGAAGUUCAAUUGAGAAAGGGACUCAUUCCUUUCCAGAUCUAGAUGUCAAUUGAAAUAAAUGAAAAUGAUUACUUUUAGCUUAUGUAUACAUGUUAAUUUGUAUACUUUUAACUUCUGUAUACAUGUUACUUUCAUUACUUUUAACUUCUAUAUACAUGUUAAUUUUGUAUAGUUUUAGUUUCUGUAUGUAUGUUACUUUUGUAUAGUUUUAGCUUCUCUAUAAAGUUCCUCCUACAAAUAUGUUAAGUCAUUUGUUUAACUAUGCUGCCUUGAUACUUUACACAUUACUAAUGGGAAGAGAAUAAUUUUUUUUUUACACACACACAUGAGUAGUCAUAUAUUUGAUAUUGUUAAAAAUGUACCCACACACAUAGUGUCAUACAUUAGUGAAGAGUAUAUUCAUAGUAAAAGUUAUACUAUAAUCUAACUUCAAAUUAAAAUGAUCAAUUAGAUGGAUGGGAAUGAUGAGAAUAUGGUGCCAGUAAAUGUAGACGACCUUACAGACAUUACCGCAAAUGGAAAAGUAAUAUGGGAUGACUCUCAUAUUGAAAAUUUCAUUAUCCUUAUGGAGGAAGAAGUGAGGCUUAGUAAUCGUACUUCUGGAACUUUUAACACUAUUGGUUGGAAGAAUUUAGUGGAAGGCAUGAGGCUUCAAAUACGGAAGAACUUUACAAAGAACCAACUUAGGAAUAAGUUCAAUUAGUUGAGGAUAGACUACAAAGACUUUGCGAAACUGUUAUUAGAAACAAGUUUUGGAUACAAUGCUGAGACACCAUGGUUAUACUUGAACUUAAAAGAUGGGAUAUGUUGAUAAAGGUUAGUAGUGAAACUUAAUUUAUCUGUUAUAUACAAAUGUAAGUUUUACUUUAUAUUAAUAAUAGGAUAAUAAUUUGUAGGUGAAUAGGGAUGCAAAAAAGUUUCAAAAGGAGGGAUGUAAACAUUUUGACAAGAUGACCCCCAUCUAUGGAGACACGUAUGUUACAGAGCGAAGUCUAUGAAGAACAAGAUUUCUAUAUACUCUUCCCAUGGACCUUGUGAGGAACAUUGCUGGGAUUUUCUUCUUGAUGGGAUGGAAUGAUGGGAUGAAUUUGCUUGCAUGAGUUUGCUGGGAUUUGCUUGCUGUUGUUAUUUUUAUAUACUCUUCCCAUGGACCUUAUGAGGAAAAUUAAGGUUAAGACCUUGUGAUGCCUUGAUGGGAAGGAAUUUGCUUGCUGUUGUGUAAUGGGAGGUGCUUGGAUUCUUGAGGUUUUUCUUGCAGGAUGUCAUGAGUAGUUGGUUUGGUUGUAUUGCUUUAAAUUUUUAUUUAUUUUUUUUUUUUCUAUUGCUUUUAUAUUGUUUAGCUUUUGCUUCCUGGUUUGCAGUUCUUCUUGUAUAGCAAGGGGAUACCCUUGAUUGAUGGCCUUGUAUAUCAGUUUGUAUAAUUUUUUUGGACUUCUAUUAUCAAUACACAACACAGUUGUAUAUUGACUAAGAUUAUGCAAAACAGUUGCUAUUGUUUAUGUCAA